rnacentral:rRNA from 1 species
UACGUAGGGGGCAAGCGUUGUCCGGAUUUACUGGGCGUAAAGAGCGCGCAGGCGGUCGUUUAAGUCGAAUGUGAAAGCCCCCGGCUCAACUGGGGAGGGUCACUCGAUACUGAUCGACUCGAAGGCAGAAGAGGGAAGCGGAAUUCCCGGUGUAGUGGUGAAAUGCGUAGAUAUCGGGAGGAACACCAGUGGCGAAGGCGGCUUUCUGGUCUGCUCUUGACGCUGAGGCGCGAAAGCUAGGGUAGCAAACGGG